rnacentral:rRNA from 1 species
UGCAGUCGAACGGUAACAGGUCUUCGGAUGCUGACGAGUGGCGAACGGGUGAGUAAUACAUCGGAACGUGCCUAGUAGUGGGGGAUAACUACUCGAAAGAGUGGCUAAUACCGCAUGAGAUCUACGGAUGAAAGCAGGGGAUCGCAAGACCUUGUGCUACUAGAGCGGCCGAUGGCAGAUUAGGUAGUUGGUGGGAUAAAAGCUUACCAAGCCGACGAUCUGUAGCUGGUCUGAGAGGACGAUCAGCCACACUGGGACUGAGACACGGCCCAGACUCCUACGGGAGGCAGCAGUGGGGAAUUUUGGACAAUGGGCGCAAGCCUGAUCCAGCAAUGCCGCGUGCAGGAUGAAGGCCUUCGGGUUGUAAACUGCUUUUGUACGGAACGAAAAGCCCUGGGUUAAUACCCUGGGGUCAUGACGGUACCGUAAGAAUAAGCACCGGCUAACUACGUGCCAGCAGCC